rnacentral:misc_RNA from 1 species
GCAUAUGCAUUAUACUGCCGUGCUCGUUCCCUUGCUGAGAAUGCCUUACAGAAUUUUCAGCCUCUCAAUAACACUGAUGAGAUGAUGAUUACAGAGCUGAAGACAUUAUACGAUGGGUGCAGAUCUAAUAGUUGUAUAGAGCAUGCAUUAGGAAUUUUGGAGGAAGAAAAAGCUCCGGAGAACCUGUCGAAGAAAGUUUCUGCAAUAUCAUUAAGCAGGGGUGACAAGAAGGUG